CUUCUAUUGUGAUUAAUAUAGCCUUAGCUUUUGCGCCAAUUCAAUUAAAUUUGCCAUUGCACAUAGCUGAAGUGAUUUUCUUGGGAGCCUUCAAAAAGUCUGUUCGGAUUGUCACAUAGCAAGGAUUUUGCUGCCAAACCAGUCGAGUGUAUGUGCGAAACGCAACAACAAGUAACAAAAACAGAGUCAUAUCAAAUAAUGCACAUUUCCGCUUCCGCUGCGAGAAAGUAGGACGUCGAAAAGCAGCAAGGAUAUGCCUUUGUCAUAAGUAGUGGCUCACUCAAUAUUGGCUCUGCCCACUUUUCGCCUUCUCGCAAGUGUUUCGAAAUAAACAACUACAGUGUAAA